UUGGACAAUGGGGAAGUCCAAUUUUGUUGCUUUAUUAUGGGUUUCACUUGUGUUGUUAUUUCUUCCACUUUUCUAUGGAGGAUUGGCUAUGGGUACAGGCACUCUAGAUGGUUCAGAAAAAUGGGGUUAUGUUGAAGUCAGGCCUAAAGCUCAUAUGUUUUGGUGGUACUACAAAAGUCCUUAUAGAACUCAAGAUCCCAACAAUCCUUGGCCUAUAAUUCUUUGGUUGCAAGGUGGACCUGGUGCUUCAGGAGUUGGGAUUGGAAAUUUUGAAGAAGUAGGCCCACUGGACUCCUUCUUGAAGCCCAGAAACUCUACAUGGCUCAGAAAAGCAGAUCUAUUGUUUGUGGAUAAUCCAGUUGGGACGGGAUACAGUUAUGUUGAGGAUGAAGAGCUAUUGGUGAAAACUGAUGAAGAAGCUGCAACAGAUUUAACCACAUUAUUGAUUGCAAUAUUCAACAAAAAUGAAACCUUGCAAAAGAGUCCUCUUUAUAUAGUGGCAGAGUCUUAUGGUGGCAAAUAUGCAGUCACUCUUGGACUUUCUGCUCUCAAAGCCAUUGAAGAUCAAAGAUUAAAGCUCAUUCUUGGAGGAAUUGCACUAGGAGAUAGCUGGAUCUCACCUGAAGACUUUGUGGAAUCAUGGGGUCCACUUCUGAAGGAUGUUUCAAGGAUAGACGACAACGGUUUAACCGAAUCAAACAGUCUAGUUGAGAAAAUCAAGCUGCAAAUAGCGAACGGGAAAUGGACAGAUGCUACGCAGACAUGGAGUAAUCUUGAAAGUCUUAUUAGCGACCAUAGCAACGGUGUUGAUUUCUACAAUUUUUUGUUGGAUUCGGGGAUGGAUCUGAUGUCAAUGGAAGCGACAGAGGUAGUGAGAGCGACCCCGAGGAUAAAGUAUAUUAGAUAUCUCGAUUCUUUAAAGAGUUCUCCGGAUGAAAACGGUGAUAUUGGUCUCUUGAUGAAUGGCGCUGUUAGAAAGAAACUUGGGAUUAUCCCAAAUGAUGUGAAAUGGGGAGGACAGCAGGGGCGGACCUGUAGUGUAAACGGGCGUAGCCCAGGCUACGGCUCAAGUUUUUACCAGAAGUGUAAAAAAAAAUUUCUUUUUUCGAUUUUUAUACACAGGACACCCCUGAACAAGUACGAGGACACCCAUAAAAAAUUUUGGGAUACCCCUGAGUUGAAGGUCUAGUUCCGCCACUGGAGGACAGUCUAGUCUUGUUUUUGGGUACUUAGAAGGCGAUUUUAUGCGACCAAGAAUUAACGAGGUUGAUGAACUAUUGAGCAAAGGAGUUAAUGUGACUAUAUAUAAUGGUCAGCUUGAUCUUAUAUGUUCAACAAAAGGAACUGAAGCAUGGGUUAAAAAGCUCAAGUGGGAAGGUCUAAAGACAUUCUUGAGCAUUGAUAGAACACCACUAUAUUGUGGAGAUGUUUCAAUCACAAAAGGGUUCACAAAGUCUUAUCGAAAUUUACAUUUCUAUUGGAUUCUUGGAGCCGGUCACUUUGUACCGGUAGAUCAACCAUGUAUAGCAUUGGAAAUGAUGGUUAACUUCACUCGGUCUCUUGUGUCUACAAAGUAAAAAAACAAACUAGAGAAGACAUCAAAAUAUCAUUAUAUGCAAAAAUUUAAAUAAUUAUAAUUCCAAAAAAGAAAUCAAUACUCUUAUGAACUCAGUGUCUCUGAAUUUGUUUUAAUUCAUUUAAUAAAUAUUUUUAAGUGAA